CCCCUUAGAGUUUGAUCAUGGCUCAAAACGAACGUUAGCGGCGCGCCUAACACAUGCAAGUCGCACGAGAAAGGGCUUCCGCCCCGGUAAAGUGGCGCACGGGUGAGUAACACGUGGGUAAUCUGCCCUCGAGCGGGGGAUAACAUUCCGAAAGGAGUGCUAAUACCGCAUAAGACCACGAUCUCGAAAGAGGUUGAGGUCAAAGCUGGCCUCUAUACAUAAGCUAGCACUUGAGGAUGACCCCGCGGCGCAUCAGGUAGUUGGUGAGGUAAUGGCUCACCAAGCCUAAGACGCGUAGCUGGUCUGAGAGGAUGAUCAGCCACACUGGGACUGAGACACGGCCCACACUCCUACGGGAGGCAGCAGUGGGGAAUAUUGGACAAUGGGCGAAAGCCUGAUCCAGCAAUGCCGCGUGAGUGAUGAAGGCCCUAAGGUUGUAAAGCUCUUUUACCCGGGAUGAUAAUGACAGUACCGGGAGAAUAAGCUCCGGCUAACUCCGUGCCAGCAGCCGCGGUAAUACGGAGGGAGCUAGCGUUGUUCGGAAUUACUGGGCGUAAAGCGCGCGUAGGCUGCUUUUUAAGUCAGAGGUGAAAGCCCGGGGCUCAACCCCCGGAAUUGCCUUUGAAACUGGAAAGCUAGAAUCUUGGAGAGGUCAGUGGAAUUCCGAGUGUAGAGGUGAAAUUCGUAUAUAUUCAGAAGACACCAGUGGCGAAGGCGACUGACUGGACAAGUAUUGACGCUGAGGUGCGAAAGCGUGGAGGAGCAAACAGGAUUAGAUACCCCUGGUAGUCCCACGCCAGUAACGAUGAUAACUAGCUGUCCGGGCUCAUAGAGCGUGGGGCGCGCAGCUAACGCAUUUAAGUCAUCCGCCUGGGAGAGUACCGUCGCAUGAUUACUACUCAAGGUAGUGAACGGCGGCUUGCACAGCGAGGAAACCAUGUGAUCAAGUUCCGAAGCCAACGCGACAGAAUCCUACCCAGGGCGUCUGUC
rnacentral:rRNA from 1 species